CAGUCCCUGGAGAACUUCUUGCUCUGCAGAUUUUAUCUCAGGAGGCCCCACCAGUUUUCUUUUGGUUUCACACUUGGCUGGGAGGGACUGAAUACCAGCCCGCUCCUGGUUUUCCCACUGAAGGAAAUAAAACAUAUUGCGUGGCUGGAGGAAAGCCAGUCACUGCCUGCCCGUGAUGGGCUGUGGUUGCUAUUUCUUGCCCCUUUUGCCAGCUCCAUUAGUGAAUCAAAAGGAAAACUAGACUUUGCUGCAGGUCUUUUGAGCUGAUAUCUAUGCUAAUUUGGUUUGUCUCCCCAGGCUAACGUGACAGGGAGGGUUUUACAGCUAAUUAGAUGCUUGUUAUGCCCCCCAAAUAUGCCUAAACCAUGAACACUUUUGGCUUAAUUAAUGUUUGUAAACCUUCAUUCUGCAUCAUCAGUAACCUGAAUUGCUGUUUGCGUGCAUUUUCUUGGAUGCCUCUUGUGUAACAGACUGUUUGCAGUUUCCAUAGUGAUGGGUUGUGUAAUUUACGCCACUCAUCUCUGUAAUUAUCUGGUUACCUAUCACCUUGAUCAGUCAAUUCGCACACAACCUGCCUGGCGGUUUCACGGGAUCUGGUUCCUCAUGGCCAAACAGUCCAGGAAGAAAUUUGAGGAAUAUUUAGGAGUCAUAAAACUCUCCAGUGGUUAUUUUCUUUGGGAAAUAAGAGCAGCUGUGCUCCUGACCCUCUGUCUGGGGACGCGGUGGGCAGGGCCAGCUUGCCACUGGGCUGCUCCCGGCCCUUCCAGAACCAGAGCCAGGUGGGUGUUGGGGUUUCAAGUCCUGCCGCCCACCUUGCGCUGGUCUGAGAAGGGCGAGGAAGACGCUGCGACUUCGUGGUGGUGUCUUGCUUUUCUUUCUUCACUGCUCUCUCUCCUCCUCAUUUUGGGGAAAAUGAUGAUUCAGAUGAGGCUGUGCACCUGCUGGUGGAGUGGGUUGGAUGCUGCGGAUGUCACACUGCAGCUCUCCGUCGGUGGCUGUCAUGGCUCUGCCGUCCUGUCUCGGGCAGGUCCCGAGCCUGUCAUCCUUGUCAGUCACCAGAAUGGCCUCCCUUCUCAGGUGUUAGGAAGUUCAAUUCCGCACGCCCUUGCCACCCAACCUCCCCGCGCCCCAGGGCACCCAGGGGCCGCUGCUCCGUCCUCUGUUAGCCUCCUCCUCGGGCCCCUGGGUGCUGCUCCAUGGCCACAGGGGGUGGGGGUGGACAGAAAAGGAAGGAGCCGGCCCUUGGCCCUCGUGGGUGUUCUGUGCCUUUCCCUCACUGCCCAGUUAGGUGCCCUUGGGUGCAGUCGGCACCCUGAUGCCAUGUCCUCUCGUGGGGGUCGUCUGCGAGUGUCCAGGGACUUUGGCCCCUCGGCUCCUGUGUUAUCCUGACUAGUAUCCAUGAGGAUGCGGGUUCGAUGCAUUGGCCUUGUUCAGUGGGUAAGGAGCCAGCCAUUGCCGUGAGCUGUGCUGUAGGUCACAGAUGGGGCUCGGAUCCCAUGUUGCUGUGGCUGUGGUGUAGGCCGGCAGCUGCAGCUCUGAUUUGACCCCUAGCCUGGGAGCCUCCAUAUGCCUCAG
ensembl:lncRNA